GAAAUGCGAUAAGUAAUGUGAAUUGCAGAAUUCAGUGAAUCAUCGAAUCUUUGAACGCACAUUGCGCCCGUCAGCAUUCUGGCGGGCAUGCCUGUUCGAGCGUCAUUUCAACCCUCAGGACCCCCCUUUCGCGGGGAGGGACCUGGCGUUGGGGAUCGGCCCGCCCCCCGUGGCGGCGCCGUCCCCGAAAUCUAGUGGCGGUCUCGCUGCAGCCUCCCCUGCGUAGUAGUUACAACCUCGCAUCGGAGCGCGGCGCGGCCACGCCGUAAAACCCCCGACUUUCUGAACGUUGACCUCGGAUCGGGUAGGAAUACCCGCUGAACUUAAGC
rnacentral:misc_RNA from 1 species